GCUGGGUGCGGUGGUGCACACCUGUAACCCCAGCGGCUAGGGAGGCCGAGGCAGGAGGAUUUCGAGUUCAUAUGCCAGCCUCAGUAAAAGCGAGGCAUUAAGCAAUUCAGUGAGACCCUGUCUCUA
rnacentral:sRNA from 1 species